rnacentral:lncRNA from 1 species
CUCGGAGGGAGAGCCCCUCUCUUUUUUCAAUGCGGGGCGGUUCCGCCCUGAUCCCUUGGAAGGCUUUGUUCUUUUGUUCCGGUCUAAGAGGAAGGAUCUGCACCCGGCCCCGCCCUGUCUGUCCACCUUCCAGCCUUUCCUCCCCGCAACAGGGCCGCCAGCCUGAGCGUGUGGAAGGGCUCCUGCUCUUUGCUGGACGGCUGAACCCCAGACCGAGGCCCCUGCUGGAAGGACGCUGCUCGGGAAACCCUCGUGUCCAGGCUCCGGAGGAACGGAAUGAGCUCCUGAGAUGGAAGACCCUUCCUCUCCGGAGCCUGCCCUCCUCCAAGCGGGACACACUUUACUUGCAUCAACCAGUUUUCAAGUAAGUUGGAAUUCCUGAAAUGCCAUCUUAGUCUGCACAAUGGAUUG